AUACGGAGGGUGCAAGCGUUGUUCGGAAUUACUGGGCGUAAAGGGCGCGUAGGUGGUUGCGUAAGUCAGAUGUGAAAUCCCGAGGCUCAACUUCGGAACUGCAUCUGAUACUGCAUGACUUGAGUGCAGCAGAGGGAAACGGAAUUCCUGGUGUAGAGGUGAAAUUCGUAGAUAUCAGGAGGAACACCGGUGGCGAAGGCGGUUUCCUGGGCUGACACUGACACUGAGGCGCGAAAGCGUGGGUAGCAAACAGGAUUAGAUACCCUGGUAGUCCACGCUGUAAACGGUGAGUACUGGGUGUGGGAGGUGUAAUGCCUUCUGUGCCGAAGCUAACGCGUUAAGUACUCCGCCUGGGGAGUACGGCCGCAAGGUUGAA
rnacentral:rRNA from 1 species